rnacentral:rRNA from 1 species
UACAGAGGGUGCGAGCGUUAAUCGGAAUUACUGGGCGUAAAGCGUGCGUAGACGGUCAUGUAAGUCGGAUGUGAAAGCCCCGGGCUCAACCUGGGAAUUGCAUUUGAGACUGCAUGGCUUGGGUGCGGAAGAGGGAAGCGGAAUUUCCGGUGUAGCGGUGAGAUGCGUAGAUAUCGGAAGGAACACCAGUGGCGAAGGCGAGUCUCUGGGCUGAUACCGACGCUGAGGCGCGAAAGCCAGGGGAGCAAACGGG